CUCCGCUGCGCGCCCGCGGAGCCGGCCCGACGGCGGGGACCCGGCCUCCGGACCCGGCCUCUGCGGAGCGCGGAGCGAGGCGAGCCCUCGGGGAGCGCUGCCCGCGGGAUUCCGUUUCGCUCGGAAAAAACUCGCCAAAAAGUCGCACCGUGCGCGCUGCUGCUGCUGUUAACGACCACGGCUGUUACGCGGCCGUCGCGCUCCCGGGGUCUUUGCACCGUUAGUUAAGCACUGGCGGCGGAGGGUUUACGCCCAGCAUCCAAAGCCCCCUUUAAACCCAACCUAACAGACAGUGAAGCUGCAGUAAAGAGGACUAAACUCAAGCUUGUAUGAGCAUCGAUGCGUCCAGCCGCAAUAACUUGAAUAGUAAUCACAUUCAGGUGCAUAGACUAGUUAGGGGAAAAAUCCUUUCGUAUCUUUCCAGGAAGGAAAUGCAAAGGGACGUUUAUGCGUGGAAAAAAUGCGACGCGCAAAACAAACAAGCAAGGUUACUUAAGGACUUUAUGGCCACAAAACAACUCCGUAGGCUGCUUUAGAAGCUGCCUUUACGGUCGCUGUUUGGAAGACUUCCCUUGAACGGUGCGCGGCUGUCGCUGCAGAAUCGGGCCUCCUUUUCCCUCGCAGACACUGGCCGCCUCGACGAGCUCCCCUGAAACAUGACACUGCUCCGAGACGCCAUAUAAAAGAAUAGGCUUUGUUGGAGAGAUACAGGCGAGAGGGGCAGAAAACUCAGCAGCCUCCGUCGGCAGGGCCAAGCAAUGGGAUCAGCUGCCCGGGAAGGGCUCGGGCUUGCAAGCGACACGCGAGGCGCCGCGUUCAGCUGAUACUGGCCGCUCCGGAUUUUUACAAACAGCAUUUCUUCUGAGCGACAGAAAAGCCGAGCCUCUAGGCGAAAGCCAUUAAUGCUUUUCUCGUUUCCAGGGAGGGGUAUUUCACCAUCAGCUAUAAAUAAACCGAAAUAAUUGUACA
rnacentral:lncRNA from 1 species